rnacentral:rRNA from 1 species
AUUGAACGCUGGCGGCAGGCCUAACACAUGCAAGUCGAACGGUAACAGGAAACAGCUUGCUGUUUCGCUGACGAGUGGCGGACGUGUGAGUAAUGUCUGGGAAACUGCCUGAUGGAGGGGGAUAACUACUGGAAACGGUAGCUAAUACCGCAUAACGUCGCAAGACCAUAGAGGGGGACCUUCGGGCCUCUUGCCAUCGGAUGUGCCCAGAUGGGAUUCGCUAGUAGGUGGGGUAACGGCUCACCUAGGCGACGAUCCCUAGCUGGUCUGAGAGGAUGACCAGCCACACUGGAACUGAGACAAGGUCCAGAAUCCUACGGGAGGCAGCAGUGGGGAAUAUUGCACAAUGGGCGCAAGCCUGAUGCAGCCAUGCCGCGUGUAUGAAGAAGGCCUUCGGGUUGUAAAGUACUUUCAGCGGGGAUGAAGGGAGUAAAGUUAAUACCUUUGAUCAUUGACGUUACCCUCAGAAGAAGCACCGGCUAACUCCGUG